UACACUUUUGGUGGAGGCACUAGACUGGAUGUUGGAAGUGACGUUCGUCCCACCAUGACAGUCCUGCCCCCCUCCAGUGUGGAGCUGCAGCAGGGGAAGGCCACUCUCAUGUGCCUGGCAAACAAGGGCUUCCCCACAGACUGGAAGCUGAGCUGGAAGGUGGAUGGGAGCAGUAGCAGCACCUGGGAGGUGACCGGGAGCCCUGGGGUCCUGGAGAAGGACGGCCACUACAGCUGGAGCAGCACCCUGACCCUCCCUGUCGACCAGUGGAGGAAGGUGGGCUCUGUGACCUGUGAGGCCACCCAGGGCUCCCAGACUCCACUCUCGGAGACACUGAGGAGAGACCAGUGUUCUGAUUAAUGAGCUCCUCCUCUGACUCCACUGUUUUUAUUCUGUUCUACACUUUUUACUCUGUCCUCGCCGUCUUACUGAUCCAGCACUACUAGCAGCACAGGAGGUUGGUGGCACCAUUAAUAGGGAGGACGGGCUCAUAGU